rnacentral:rRNA from 1 species
CCUACGGGUGGCUGCAGUAGGGAAUAUUGCACAAUGGGGGAAACCCUGAUGCAGCAACGCCGCGUGGGGGAUGAAGGUUUUCGGAUUGUAAACCACUUUUGUUAGAGAAGAAAAUGACGGUAUCUAACGAAUAAGCACCGGCUAACUCCGUGCCAGCAGCCGCGGUAAUACGGAGGGUGCAAGCGUUACUCGGAAUCACUGGGCGUAAAGAGCGCGUAGGCGGGAUAGCAAGUCAGAUGUGAAAUCCUAUGGCUUAACCAUAGAACUGCAUUUGAAACUGUUAUUCUAGAGUAUGGGAGAGGUAGGUGGAAUUCUUGGUGUAGCGGUAAAAUGCGUAGAGAUCAAGAGGAAUACUCAUGGCGAAGGCGACCUGCUAGAACAUAACUGACGCUGAUGCGCGAAAGCGUGGGGAGCAAACAGGAUUAGAUACCCUUGUAGUC